rnacentral:tRNA from 1 species
ACGCAGGUCGCUUAUUGGUAAGGCCCUUGGCUUUCGCAGCCGAGAAAAACCGGGUUCGAUUCCCGGCCGCGUUCCA